GGAGUUAACCCUUAGUGCCCCUCAGCAUGCAGUGUUGUCUUUAUCUGGGUGGAAAUCCUGUGCCUGUGACCAGCGAGAACUGGGUCUCAACAGCUAUCAUAUCAUCAUGGGGUAAUUUCAAUUCAGUCAUUUUCCUCCCCUGAAUCAAAAAUAUUGGCUACUUCUGCUAUUCUUCAUAUAAGGAAUUAAUGAGGAAAAGAGUAGGAAAAAAUUAUGGAGUACCAUAAAAUGCAGCAGCUGAAUUUUCCCCCAGUAGCCAGCCACUAGGAUAAACAGAUUAUCAUAACUAUCUACUUUCACCAUCCAAUUCCAUGCUCCCUUAGUUAUUGCAGGUCUUUCAGCUAGAUGAGGAUUUUUCUGCCUGAUGGGAGAUGAAAUUUCAUUCUUCUUUUUUAUGAAUAGGCCCUCGUACCUUCGGUCCAGGUUAUGCAUUAUGAGCCCACUGAAGGGUGUAAGUGGGAAGAAGGGUGUAUUUGCUUAUGAGGCAAGGGUGGCCCAGGAGAAUUUGGAGAUUCAUAGUCCUUAACUUCAUCUAUAUCUACCAAAAUAUCCCAUUCAAUGAGGCAUGGUUCCAUUGUUUCCUGAUAAUUGCCUUUCUGUUAGCAUAGUAGAUCUGGUGGAUCUGAUUUAUAAUUAGUUCUAUGAAUCUACAACCUUUACAAUCAUGCUGUGAGCUUGAUCACCAGCUAUAUUUUCUGCACGAGUAUAGGAGAGGGGGUGCCUUCAAAGUUAUUCAGAAAACUUUCUGACUCUGCACAUUUGUAAUUUUAUGUUCAUAUUUUUAAUUAUUUUGCCUUAUCGAUAUUCUGUGGGACUGUCGAAAGAAACUAAUGACUUUAAAAUCUUAAUUGUCAGAGCAGCUGUGUGUCACAGCCACUUGAUCUCUGCAAACUCUCAUCUCAUGCAACCACAGUGUUAACUUGAAUGUUUACAAUGCUACAGUAUGCCAAGCACUACUGCUACUCUAUCUCUCUCGCACUCCCAGCAAAAAGGUUAUCCCUGUACUCCUCAAAUAUAUAAUGUGCUAAGCCCAGAGUCUCGGUUCAAGGAGUCUAUUUCCUGGGGCCACUUCUGCUACCAACUAAUGUAUCAGCAGAGUUUCCAGCAGAAAAGAAAUCAUUAGAUGAGUAUUUAUUUAAAAAGUGAUAGAUAAUAAAAGUUUGCCUGGGGUAAAAGCAAAUCACCACAAAUAGGGCAGGAAUGGGGGCCAACAGCAGUGAGAUGUUACCUCUCUUCAUGCCAAAGGACUGAGGAAUGGAGCCUGGAAAAAAUAAAGUCCCAGACUUACCUGGAAGCCAGAGUACACCAGGUCCUGUUCGUGUAGCGUCUGCCACCCAUCUGUGAGGCAGAGGGCAAAUGGAAACAGAAGGAGAAUGGCUCUGGAGGGUCACCUGCAGCAAAAUGCAGAAAAAACUGAUAGCAGGAAGAAAGAGCUGGAGGCCACAGACCACGAGAUUGGGAUGGUCACUGCCUGGAGGACUGCUCAAAGAGAUUGGCUGCAAAGGGUCAUAGCUGAGGUUUUCUUCUCCCAAAAGAGAGCAGAGGCUAGCAUAAGGAUUAAUUCUCUUAUUUUCAGAAAUAACCAGAGGUCUUUGAGUAUCUUUGAUCACAAGAAAGGACUGGACCAAAGUUAAGUUUUUUAAUUUGCACAAAUAAAAAAAUGAAACCUUAUUUUAUUUCCAAAUUUUUCUAAAACCAGACAUGGCUUAUUCAUACAUAGAAAUUCUGAAGGGUGUCCACCAAUAUGUUAAUAUUGGUUCUCUAUGGGUCAGGGGGGAUUAUAGGUUAUUUUAUUAUUUUCUUUAAUCUUUUUUCCCUGAUCUUUCAACAGUAGAUUCUUGUUAUUUUACUCUUUCACUCAUCUUUAUCAUUUUCCCCCAUGAUAUUUCAACAGAGAUUAUAUUUUAUUUUAAAAUUAAUACUUAAAAAAUACUCCAUUUUAAAGUAUUUUCUUAUGUAUUAAUGUUCCAAAAUCAUCCUAGGAGAGGACAAAUUUUUACUAUUUAUUUUCAGAUUACUUAUGAACAAAAAGUUGAAAGAAAGAAGGAUCAGUAAGCUAGCUCUCUUGUUUCUCCUGUAAACAUUUUCUUUUAUUUUAUUCCUUCAAGAAAAUAAAUUUUAAAAAAAAUUAAAGGAAUGUCCAUAUACAGACUAGGAAAUAAUGUUCUUAUGUAACCAAAUACAUCAUUAACAAAUGCAGAAGUUACCAUCGUUGCUAAAAGAAAUACGAGCUUUUUUUCUUGGAAAAAAAAAA